rnacentral:rRNA from 1 species
AGUGAACGCUGGCGGUAGGCCUAACACAUGCAAGUCGAACGGCAGCACAGUAAGAGCUUGCUCUUACGGGUGGCGAGUGGCGGACGGGUGAGGAAUACAUCGGAAUCUACUUUUUCGUGGGGGAUAACGUAGGGAAACUUACGCUAAUACCGCAUACGACCUACGGGUGAAAGCAGGGGGUCUUCGGACCUUGCGCGAUUGAAUGAGCCGAUGUCGGAUUAGCUAGUUGGCGGGGUAAAGGCCCACCAAGGCGACGAUCCGUAGCUGGUCUGAGAGGAUGAUCAGCCACACUGGAACUGAGACACGGUCCAGACUCCUACGGGAGGCAGCAGUGGGGAAUAUUGGACAAUGGGCGCAAGCCUGAUCCAGCUAUACCGCGUGGGUGAAGAAGGCCUUCGGGUUGUAAAGCCCUUUUGUUGGGAAAGAAAAGCAGCAGGUUAAUACCCCGCUGUUCUGACGGUACCCAAAGAAUAAGCACCGGCUAACUUCGUG